rnacentral:rRNA from 1 species
UACGUAGGGUGCGAGCGUUAAUCGGAAUUACUGGGCGUAAAGCGUGCGCAGGCGGGUCGCUAAGACCGAGGGGAAAUCCCCGGGCUUAACCUGGGAACUGCAUUGGUGACUGGCGGGCUAGAGUAUGGCAGAGGGGGGUAGAAUUCCACGUGUAGCAGUGAAAUGCGUAGAGAUGUGGAGGAAUACCGAUGGCGAAGGCAGCCCCCUGGGCCAAUACUGACGCUCAUGCACGAAAGCGUGGGGAGCAAACAGG